CCCUUAGACGUUCUGGGCCGCACGCGCGCUACACUGACGAAGGCAACGAGCUUUCCUUUACCGAAAGGUACGGGUAAUCUUUUGAAACUUCGUCGUGCUGGGGAUAGAUCCUUGCAAUUUUUGAUCUUAAACGAGGAAUUCCUAGUAAGCGCAAGUCAUCAACUUGCGUUGAUUACGUCCCUGCCCUUUGUACACACCGCCCGUCGCUACUACCGAUUGAAUGGUUUAGUGAGGCCUUCGGAUCCGCGACUCGUUUUGUGGAGAAGUUGGGCAAACUCAGUCAUUUAGAGGAAGUAAAAGUCGUAACA
rnacentral:rRNA from 1 species